rnacentral:lncRNA from 1 species
AUCCCCGGCAUGUCGGCUGGAACCCAAGCGAAAACGUCCGCAUUCCUUCGUAGAAAAUCAAUGAGACGCGUCCGCACCUCCUCCCCCAGGUUGGAGCCAAUUAGCGCCACAUGCUCCGCGUUCCCAUCAUUCAAAGGGAUUGGUACCAGAUCUUCGAUUGGGCCGCCCCUUUCUUCGGUGAGGUCAUCGCGAGCAUCCAGUCCAUCGACGGGACAGGGGUCAGCUUGAUCGCUUCUUUGCAAGGCGAUGUUGUAGCAGUGUCUGGCCAGGGCUUGAUCUCCCCGGACCUCUCCGAUCCCCUGGUUGGUGGGGAACUUCAACUUCAAAUGGUAGGUCGAAAUGACAGCUCGGAGAGCAUUGAGGCCGGAUCGGCCAAGGAUUGCAUUGUAGGCGGAUGGCCCCUUCACCACCAAGAAAUUCACCAGAGUCCUGGAUUGCUUUGGAUAUUGACCCGC